rnacentral:rRNA from 1 species
CAGUCGACGAAUUUACCUUUUGCUUGCAAAGGAGCGAUUAGUGGCGGAUUGGUGAGUAACACGUAAGAAAUCUGCCUAUCAGAGGGGAAUAACAGUGAGAAAUCAUUGCUAAUACCGCAUAUGCCAUAGGAGUCGCAUGACUCUAGUGGGAAAGAAGCAAUUCGCUGAUAGAUGAGCUUGCGUCUGAUUAGCUAGUUGGUGGGGUAAAGGCCUACCAAGGCGACGAUCAGUAGCCGGACUGAGAGGUUGAACGGCCACAUUGGGACUGAGAUACGGCCCAGACUCCUACGGGAGGCAGCAGUCGGGAAUAUUGCGCAAUGGAGGAAACUCUGACGCAGUGACGCCGCGUAUAGGAAGAAGGUUUUCGGAUUGUAAACUAUUGUCCACAGGGAAGAAAAAAGACUGUACCUGUGAAGAAAGCUCCGGCUAACUACGUGCCAGCAGCCGCGGUAAUACGUAGGGAGCAAGCGUUAUCCGGAAUUAUUGGGUGUAAAGGGUGCGUAGACGGGAUAACAAGUUGGUUGUGAAACCCCUCGGCUCAACUGAGGAACUGCAACCAAAACUAUUAUUCUUGAGUGCAGGAGAGGAAAGUGGAAUUCCUAGUGUAGCGGUGAAAUGCGUAGAUAUUAGGAAGAACACCGGUGGCGAAGGCGACUUUCUGGACUGUAACUGACGUUGAGGCACGAAAGUGUGGGGAGCAAACAGGAUUAGAUACCCUGGUAGUCCACACUGUAAACGAUGGAUACUAGGUGUAGGAGUUAUUAAGGCUUCUGUGCCGUCGCAA